rnacentral:lncRNA from 1 species
AUGACCAGUUUUGGUAUUGAAACCAGACUUUGCAACAUUACAAACAGUCAAACAGAAAAAGGCAGGAGCAAAUGUUCUAUUUAUUAUAAUGUUGGCUUUAUAAAAAUAAACCAGUUCCUCAUGUGGUCUUCACAGCUCAGAUCUGAAGAAGUAGAUAUGUCUUUUCUGCAUUUCAGAUGUAAUUUCUCCUCAAGCACACAUGACGACAGAAAGCUGACUGACUGUUCAGAGUUUGCGAUGAAUGGAUUGGUUGUGAUGGUGGAUCUGCAAACCGAGCACUUGAAUGAGCUGUUGAAUGCGUUCUGAAGACUCGUAAUGGACUGCAUCUCUGAAGUGACACGAGGAUGAAUGAAUGAGGACAGUCUGCCUGACUGAUGUCAUUCACAGUCGUGCUCAGGUGACUCCAGAAGAAGUGAGAUGAGUCCGGCGACGCUCUGAUUGGGUGUUUGAUCUGAUGAUGAAUGUGAAAGCAGCAGCGCUGUGUGGAUUGAAUGUGAACACGAGGAGGCCUGAGAAGCUCAUGCAGAUGUGAGUGGAGGCUGAAGCAUGACGGCGAGGUGUAGUGGAGAAGAAUGCCUCUGAUUCAGGCCUUUCAUGUCUGCAGGCCCAUGCGUGUCCAAUAGCGUGUGUGUGUGUGAAGGGGAAGCGGCUCAACAUGUUGAAUGGAGCUUUUGUUCUGGGCCGGCUGUGGCUUUUUUACAUUCUGCAGUGCUGCAGAUGGAAGUGAAGCGGCCCGCAUGAGACGAGCAUUGAAAUGAGCUCCCUCCUCCUCCUCCUCCUCCCGCCGUGAUCCGAGAUUCACUCCUCCUCCGUCCUCAUCAGUGAGUCACCAGAGCCGCAUGACACGUCCAGGCCUCGCUCCGCUCCACACACUUCAUCUUUAUCAGAUGUGUUCUUCCUCAAGAGGACUAGUCACCUACCAUAUAUCCCCUACAGAUGCCCUGUGAAGACCUCGUCUUAAUUUCUGACAACUUUGUUGACUUGACUGCACAGACACUACUGGAAGAGAGCUGAGCUGAGCUGAACAUCACUGAACUGACAUUAGCUGAUAAACUGUUUUCUACUCUCCUCUUGCAUUAUCAGCACACACUUUUCCUGUUUGACACUGUAAAGCUGCUUCAACACACUCUAUAUUGUAUAAAGCACUAUAGAAAUAAAGACUUGACUUGAUUUUACUCAUUUUAGUCAGUCAUAAUAAAUAAAAUCCAAUUUCAGAUUCUGACAGUUUGUAUGUUUAUAUGAAUCCUGAAUGCUGCAUUCCAAUAUUAAUUUAAAUGUGCAUUACAUUUAUUCUGAGUCGCC